rnacentral:rRNA from 1 species
CAGUCGCCACGGUAAUACGGAGGGUGCAAGCGUUAAUCGGAAUUACUGGGCGUAAAGCGCACGCAGGCGGUCUGACAAGUCAGAUGUGAAAUCCCCGGGCUUAACCUGGGAACUGCAUUUGAAACUGUCAGGCUGGAGUCUUGUAGAGGGGGGUAGAAUUCCAGGUGUAGCGGUGAAAUGCGUAGAGAUCUGGAGGAAUAUCGGUGGCGAAGGCGGCCAUCUGGACAAAGACUGACGCUCAGGUGCGAAAGCGUGGGGAGCAAACAGGAUUAGAUACCCCUGUAGUCCCUGUCUCUUAUAC